UUUAUGGAGAGUUUGAUCCUGGCUCAGGAUGAACGCUGGCGGCGUGCCUAAUACAUGCAAGUCGAGCGAACAGACAAGGAGCUUGCUCCUUUGACGUUAGCGGCGGACGGGUGAGUAACACGUGGGUAACCUACCUAUAAGACUGGGAUAACUUCGGGAAACCGGAGCUAAUACCGGAUAAUAUUUCGAACCGCAUGGUU
rnacentral:rRNA from 1 species